rnacentral:rRNA from 1 species
GUUCGGUUAAGUCCGGCAACGAGCGCAACCCACAUUCUUAGUUGCCAGCAUUCAGUUGGGCACUCUAGGAAAACUGCCGAUGAUAAGUCGGAGGAAGGUGUGGAUGACGUCAAGUCCUCAUGGCCCUUACGGGUUGGGCUACACACGUGCUACAAUGGCAGUGACAAUGGGUUAAUCCCAAAAAGCUGUCUCAGUUCGGAUUGGGGUCUGCAACUCGACCCCAUGAAGUCGGAAUCGCUAGUAAUCGCGUAACAGCAUGACGCGGUGAGUAGGUUCCCGGGCCUU